rnacentral:rRNA from 1 species
UACGUAGGGGGCAAGCGUUAUCCGGAUUUACUGGGUGUAAAGGGAGCGUAGGUGGUUUGGUAAGUCAGAUGUGAAAGCCCGGGGCUCAACCCCGGGACUGCAUUUGAAACUAUCAGGCUAGAGUGCAGGAGAGGUAAGUGGAAUUCCUAGUGUAGCGGUGAAAUGCGUAGAUAUUAGGAGGAACACCAGUGGCGAAGGCGGCUUACUGGACUGUAACUGACACUGAGGCUCGAAAGCGUGGGGAGCAAACAGG